rnacentral:tRNA from 1 species
GGGUCGGUACCGAAGUGGUCAAACGGGCCUGACUGUAAAUCAGGUGGCCUUGCCUUCGGGGGUUCGAAUCCCUCCCGGCCCA